rnacentral:rRNA from 1 species
UACGUAGGGUCCGAGCGUUAAUCGGAAUUACUGGGCGUAAAGCGUGCGCAGGCGGUUCGCAAAGACAGGUGUGAAAUCCCCGGGCUUAACCUGGGAACUGCGCUUGUAACUAGCGGGCUAGAGUGCGGCAGAGGGGGGUGGAAUUCCACGUGUAGCAGUGAAAUGCGUAGAUAUGUGGAGGAACACCGAUGGCGAAGGCAGCCCCCUGGGCUAGCUACUGACGCUCA